GACGAACGCUGGCGGCGUGCUUAACACAUACAAGUCGAGCGGAGCGGCGAACGGGUGAGUAACGCGUGAGUAACUGCCCCCCUCUCUGGGCUAACAGUUGGAAACGGCUGCUAAUAACGGAUAGUGGGGGAUGACUCGCGUCCUAUCAGCUUGUUGGUUGGGGAGUGUCCUACCAAGGCGACGACGGGUAGCCGGCCUGAGAGGGCGAACGGCCACAGUGGGUGUAGAUACGUACCAAACUCCUACGGGAGGCAGCAGGGGGGAAUAUUGAACAAUGGGGGAAACCCUGAUGCAGAAACGCCGCGUGCGGGAUGACGGCCUUCGGGGUGUAAUCCGCUGUCAGCCAUGACGCGGUAGUGGCAGAAGAAGCACCGGCUAACUACGUGCCAGCAGCCGCGUAAUUC
rnacentral:rRNA from 1 species